rfam:Ovis aries breed Texel chromosome 2, whole genome shotgun sequence.
UCCCAGGUGGCUCAAUGGUAAAGAAUCUGCCUGCCAAGCAGAAGACGUGGGUUCGAUCCCUAGGUUGGGAA